ensembl:snRNA U1 U1 spliceosomal RNA
CUACUUACCUAGCAGGGGAGAUACCACAAUCACAAAGGUGGUUUUCCCAGGACAAGGCUUAGCCAUUGCAUUCUGGAUGUGUUGAUCCCUGUGAUUUUCAAAAAGGUGGGAAAUUCAACUACAUGAUUUUUUGUAGUGGGGGAUUGUGUUCUAACUCUCCCCUA